ACCACAUCCAGAGAAUCAUGACGCUGGAAGAAUCGGUUCAGCAUGUGGUGAUGGAAGCCAUCCAGGAGCUCAUGACCAAAGACACUCCUGACUCCCUGUCACCAGAGACAUAUGGCAACUUUGACAGCCAGAUGGAGUCUCACUCUGUCACCCAGGCUGGAGUGCAGUGGCACGAUCUCGGCUCACUGCAACC
rnacentral:sRNA from 1 species